UACAGAGGGUGCGAGCGUUAAUCGGAGUUACUGGGCGUAAAGGGCGCGUAGGCGGUGAGAUGAGUGUGAUGUGAAAGCCCCGGGCUUAACCUGGGAAGGGCAUCGCAAACGAUCUGACUGGAGUAUAGGAGAGGGUGGUGGAAUUUCCGGUGUAGCGGUGAAAUGCGUAGAGAUCGGAAGGAACGUCAAUGGCGAAGGCAGCCACCUGGCCAAAUACUGACGCUGAGGCGCGAGAGCGUGGGGAGCGAACAGG
rnacentral:rRNA from 1 species